GGACCAACAGCCAGACUGGACUGUUGUUUUUCCUGGGAAUUUCACAGAAGUUUUUCUGUCACAGGAUUUCCUGCCAGGGCCUCCGAGGAGCCACAGCCCCUGAUGGUGACAUGGGCGGGUGUGUUGGCACUUGGUGCUGCCAUUCCUGAGGGGAGGGAGGACCAGGAAAUUUACUCAUCGUUGCAUUUGCUGAGCCUCUUGGCUGAGACUGCUGUUUUUCUAAGGAUUGACUGAUCAGAUCCUGGCAGUCCUUUAAGUCACUUGAAGGGACAACUGGAAACAGGCUCUUCCCUGUGAGCUCUGAAGAUCAGACCUGCUGGACAGUAAGAAGUCAGAUUUGCUUCACUUUUCUUCACUCCCUGGGACACAAACAAAAGAAACUAGAGCAAGUUCCUGCCUGCUGAAAUUCCAGGGGCUUGAACUACAUUCCAGCACAACCAAGAGGCAUUUUGAAUCUUUUCUUGGUAUACGUCAGCCCUGCACUGCUCCCAGGCAACUGCAGUUUAAGUUAGAUAUUAUUAAUUUCAAAGGUUUGACUACCAAUAGUUCUCAUUAAUUUCCAUGGCAACAUCGCCUGAAACAAGAUAACAAUUGCUUGGGGUUGUAUAACCAAAGUUCCUAACGUGAAGGAAUGCAAACCAGGAAAAGUGCUCAGAUGGAGGGAACUGACUGACCUUGCAUAACCUCCCUAGGGCCAAACUUCCCUUCCUAUCUAGCAAUCUGCAUUCCUAGUUUGCUGAAAAUAUUGAACAGUUUGCACUUUCAGUCUGUGUCCUCUGGGCUUCAGUCUCCCGCAUGCCUCACAGCUUUCCUGAAACAUUUCACCCACACGUUUAUUCCUUUAUAUUCCUGCUAAUGACACAUGGCUAGAGCUUUCGUAUGAGAUGUAACAGGGAUAUAAAUGAUAAUAGAAAAUUUUAAAACCACAUUACUUUUCUUUGUCUAUCUUGCUAAGAUUAUUGUUUCUGCAGAAAACAGCUGAGACACUUACCAUGAUUGAUUUAGACAUUAAAUUACGGACUUAUGUGCUUUCACUCUAUCAAUAAACACCAAAUAUCUUUAAAAGUCCAAAUAAAGUUUUUCUGGUUACAUGGCCAUUUGGUUAAGGAGAAUAGUGGCAGUCAGUAAGAACUAAAA